UACGGGGGGGUGCGAGCGUUGUCCGGAAUUAUUGGGCGUAAAGAGCUCGUAGGCGGUUUGUCGCGUCUGCUGUGAAAACCCGAGGCUCAACCUCGGGCCUGCAGUGGGUACGGGCAGACUAGAGUGCGGUAGGGGAGAUUGGAAUUCCUGGUGUAGCGGUGAAAUGCGCAGAUAUCAGGAGGAACACCAAUUGCGAAGGCAGCUCGCUGGGACGUUACUGACGCUGAGACGCGAGAGCGUGGGGAGCAAACAGG
rnacentral:rRNA from 1 species